CAUACGGUUCUCUUCAGAACUACAAAUACUGCGAGAACCAAUCUA
rnacentral:ncRNA from 1 species